rnacentral:rRNA from 1 species
AUUGAACGCUGGCGGCAGGCUUAACACAUGCAAGUCGAGCGGGGUGAUGGUGCUUGCACUAUCACUAGCGGCGGACGGGUGAGUAAUGCUUAGGAAUCUGCCUAUUAGUGGGGGACAACAUCUCGAAAGGGAUGCUAAUACCGCAUACGUCCUACGGGAGAAAGCAGGGGAUCACUUGUGACCUUGCGCUAAUAGAUGAGCCUAAGUCGGAUUAGCUAGUUGGUGGGGUAAAGGCCUACCAAGGCGACGAUCUGUAGCGGGUCUGAGAAGAUGAUCCGCCACACUGGGACUGAGACACGGCCCAGACUCCUACGGGAGGCAGCAGUGGGGAAUAUUGGACAAUGGGGGAAACCCUGAUCCAGCCAUGCCGCGUGUGUGAAGAAGGCCUUAUGGUUGUAAAGCACUUUAAGCGAGGAGGAGGCUCUUUUGGUUAAUACCCAAGAUGAGUGGACGUUACUCGCAGAAUAAGCACCGGCUAACUCUGUGCCAGCAGCCGCCGUAA